AGUGAACGCUGGCGGUAGGCCUAACACAUGCAAGUCGAACGGCAGCACAGUAAGAGCUUGCUCUUACGGGUGGCGAGUGGCGGACGGGUGAGGAAUACAUCGGAAUCUACUUUUUCGUGGGGGAUAACGUAGGGAAACUUACGCUAAUACCGCAUACGACCUACGGGUGAAAGCAGGGGAUCUUCGGACCUUGCGCGAUUGAAUGAGCCGAUGUCGGAUUAGCUAGUUGGCGGGGUAAAGGCCCACCAAGGCGACGAUCCGUAGCUGGUCUGAGAGGAUGAUCAGCCACACUGGAACUGAGACACGGUCCAGACUCCUACGGGAGGCAGCAGUGGGGAAUAUUGGACAAUGGGCGCAAGCCUGAUCCAGCCAUACCGCGUGGGUGAUGAAGGCCUUCGGGUUGUAAAGCUCUUUUAUUGGGAAAGAAAAGCAGCAGGUUAAACCCCCGCUGUUCUGACGGUACCCAAAGAAUAAGCACCGGCUAACUUCGUG
rnacentral:rRNA from 1 species